rnacentral:lncRNA from 1 species
CUGGUCCAUGAUGUUCUUCUUUAUGUAAUAUUUAAGGUCUAAACAGUCAGAUAGGUUGUUUCGUUUCGAUCAAUGAUGUUCUUCUUUGUGUAAUAAUGUUAUGUCUAAACAGUCAGGUAUGUUGUCUCGUACUGGUCCAUGUUGUUCUUCUUUGUGUAAUAUUGCCAGGUCUAGACAGUCAGAUAAGUUGUUUAGUUCUGGUCCAUGAUGUUCUUCUUUGUGUAAUAUUGCCAGGUCUAGACAGUCAGGUAAGUUGUCUCGUUCUGGUCCAUGAUGUUCUUCUUUGUGUAAUAUUUCAGGUCUAAACAGUCAGAUAAGUUGUUUCGUUCCGAUCAAUGAUGUUCUUCUUUGUGUAAUAAUGUUACGGUCUAAACAGUCAGGUAUGUUGUCUCGUACUGGUCCAUGUUGUUCUUCUUUGUGUAAUAUUGCCAGGUCUAGACAGUCAGAUAAGUUGUCUCGUUCUGGUCCAUGAUGUUCUUCUUUGUGUAAUAUUGCCAGGUCUAAACAGUCAGAUAGGUUGUCUCGUUCUGGUCCAUGAGGUUCUUCUUUGUAUAAUAUUGCCAGGUCUAGACAGUCAGAUAAGUUGUCUCGUUCUGGUCCAUGAUGUUCUUCUUUGUAUCAUACUGUUAGGUCUAGACAGUCAGGUAAGUUGUCUCGUUCUGGUCCAUGAUGUUCUUCUUUGUGUAAUAUUGCCAGGUCUAGACAGUCAGGUAAGUUGUCUCGUUCUGCUCCAUGAUGUUCUUCUCUGUGUCAUAAUGUUAGGUCUAGACAGUCAGGUAUGUUGUCUCGUUCUGGUCCAUGAUGUUCUUCUUUGUGUAAUAUUGCCAGGUCUAGACAGUCAGGUAAGUUGUCUAGUUCUGGUCCAUGAUGUUCUUCUCUGUGUCAUAAUGUUAGGUCUAGACAGUCAGGUAUGUUGUCUCGUUCUGGUCCAUGAUGUUCUUCUUUGUGUAAUAUUGCCAGGUCUAGACAGUCAGGUAAGUUGUCUCGUUCUGGUCCAUGAUGUUCUUCUCUGUGUCAUAAUGUUAGGUCUAGACAGUCAGGUAUGUUGUCUCGUUCUGGUCCAUGAUGUUCUUCUUUGUGUAAUAUUGCCAGGUCUAGACAGUCAGGUAACUUGUCUCGUUCUGGUCCAUGAUGUUCUUCUCUGUGUCAUAAUGUUAGGUCUAGACAGUCAGGUAUGUUGUCUCGUUCUGGUCCAUGAUGUUCUUCUUUGUGUAAUAUUGCCAGGUCUAGACAGUCAGGUAACUUGUCUCGUUCUGGUCCAUGAUGUUCUUCUCUGUGUCAUAAUGUUAGGUCUAGACAGUCAGGUAUGUUGUCUCGUUCUGGUCCAUGAUGUUCUUCUUUGUGUAAUAUUGCCAGGUCUAGACAGUCAGGUAAGUUGUCUAGUUCUGGUCCAUGAUGUUCUUCUCUCGUGUCAUAAUGUUAGGUCUAGACAGUCAGGUAAGUUUUCUCAUUCUGGUCCAUGAUGUUCUUCUUUGUGUAAUAUUGCCAGGUCUAGACAGUCAGGUAAGUUGUCUAGUUCUGGUCCAUGAUGUUCUUCUCUCGUGUCAUAAUGUUAGGUCUAGACAGUCAGGUAAGUUUUCUCGUUCUGGUCCAUGAUGUUCUUCUCUGUGUCAUAAUGUUAGGUCUAGACAGUCAGGUAAGUUGUCUCGUUCUGGUCCAUGAUGUUCUUCUCUGUGUCAUAAUGUUAGGUCUAGACAGUCGGGUAUGUUACUUGUUUUGAAGCAUAGUCAUAUUUUUGGUCUAUGCAAUCCGGCAGGUUUUCUAAUAGGAUUUUAGCUAGACAGUACAUCUUUACGAUAUUGACGUAGACUGUAGUAGUUUUGUCAGAUUAUAAACGUCUGCAUAUCUUUUUGAAAUGAUAUAAAAUGAGUGGAGCUACUUGAAAGACAAUCUGCAGUACUUCUCUAAAUCUGUGUGGAUAAUAUCAGACAAUAACAAAGGGCCGGGAUUUCCAUCACCGGCCGAGGAGAAUGUUCUGAUAGAAGACAAUAUGUCUAUAACUCGAAUGAUAUCAAUCUAUUUUUUAUACGGGAAAAUUAUUACUAACAGAGAACUAGUCCAUCCAAGAACAUUGGUUAGGUAAAUUAAAUCUUUAUACUUUGUUACUAAGCAAAACAGUUAAUUCAUCUAAAUGAUUUCGAAUCGU